CCCGUUACUGGAGCUACCAUGCAGUCGAACGGUAACAGGAAGCAGCUUGCUGCUUCGCUGACGAGUGGCGGACGGGUGAGUAAUGUCUGGGAAACUGCCUGAUGGAGGGGGAUAACUACUGGAAACGGUAGCUAAUACCGCAUAACGUCGCAAGACCAAAGAGGGGGACCUUCGGGCCUCUUGCCAUCAGAUGUGCCCAGAUGGGAUUAGCUAGUAGGUGGGGUAACGGCUCACCUAGGCGACGAUCCCUAGCUGGUCUGAGAGGAUGACCAGCCACACUGGAACUGAGACACGGUCCAGACUCCUACGGGAGGCAGCAGUGGGGAAUAUUGCACAAUGGGCGCAAGCCUGAUGCAGCCAUGCCGCGUGUAUGAAGAAGGCCUUCGGGUUGUAAAGUACUUUCAGCGGGGAGGAAGGCGAUGCGGUUAAUAACCGCGUCGAUUGACGUUACCCGCAGAAGAAGCACCGGCUAACUCCGUGCCAGCAGCCGCGGUAAUACGGAGGGUGCAAGCGUUAAUCGGAAUUACUGGGCGUAAAGCGCACGCAGGCGGUCUGUCAAGUCGGAUGUGAAAUCCCCGGGCUCAACCUGGGAACUGCAUCCGAAACUGGCAGGCUUGAGUCUCGUAGAGGGGGGUAGAAUUCCAGGUGUAGCGGUGAAAUGCGUAGAGAUCUGGAGGAAUACCGGUGGCGAAGGCGGCCCCCUGGACGAAGACUGACGCUCAGGUGCGAAAGCGUGGGGAGCAAACAGGAUUAGAUAUUGGGGGGGAUGAGUUCAAGA
rnacentral:rRNA from 1 species